AUUGAACGCUGGCGGCAGGCCUAACACAUGCAAGUCGAGCGGAUGAAGGGAGCUUGCUCCUGGAUUCAGCGGCGGACGGGUGAGUAAUGCCUAGGAAUCUGCCUAGUAGUGGGGGAUAACGUCCGGAAACGGGCGCUAAUACCGCAUACGUUCUGAGGGAGAAAGUGGGGGAUCUUCGGACCUCACGCUAUCAGAUGAGCCUAGGUCGGAUUAGCUAGUUGGUGGGGUAAAGGCCUACCAAGGCGACGAUCCGUAACUGGUCUGAGAGGAUGAUCAGUCACACUGGAACUGAGACACGGUCCAGACUCCUACGGGAGGCAGCAGUGGGGAAUAUUGGACAAUGGGCGAAAGCCUGAUCCAGCCAUGCCGCGUGUGUGAAGAAGGUCUUCGGAUUGUAAAGCACUUUAAGUUGGGAGGAAGGGCAGUAAGUUAAUACCUUGCUGUUUUGACGUUACCAACAGAAUAAGCACCGGCUAACUUCGUG
rnacentral:rRNA from 1 species